GGGCAGGAUCACCGGCUGUGUAGGAUCCUUAGAAAAAGUCUCUCCGUCUCGGCGGCGCUGCGUCCGACAGGCCACCCACCAGGAGAGAGGGUUGGUUAUUUCCCUGUGAGACCACUGAGGGAAGAAAUGACCACUACAACCUACAAGUACCAGUUGGUGUUGUUCCUGCUUUCCAUCCUCAGGGGGCAGCAAUGAGUCAAUAUGGCUUAGGGCACUACAAUAAGGCAAAAAAGAUGCAGCUCAGGAAAAGUGGGGUGUCAGAAAGGCGGUACAAGAGAAACCAGGGGUUAGACAGAAGCAGCGCUGCAAACCAAAAAAAAAAAUGCAGACAAAACAGCACCCCCACAAAAAGUUCAAUUUGAAAUAAGAGAGAUGGAUUUUGCAUCUCUUCCCAAGUCACUUUUUCUCACCUGGAGAUCUUGCUGCAAAGGAGGAAGUAGAAAAACAGCGGUGAACAGGAGAACUUUUUAGCGAUCGCAUUUUGAGAAGGAUAAAUGACGGAAAGAUGGACGAGUACAGUAAAGAUGUCGAUAAAAAUGAUGCAAGAAAAAACACAAGAGGCGGAGCCGCGGAAGGACAAAGAAAAAGGAGGACAAGACAGAUCAGGAGAAGGAAGCAGAAAUAGCAAAUGCUCGUCCUCUGGGUUUUUUUUUUCAUUGUCAUUGUCAGUCUGAGAUUGUUUGAGCGGACAACACUUGUGUUUUCUGCAGUUUGUGUCUUUUUUGUUGCCGAGAUUCCCUUAUAACAAAAAGACAGAAAUAUAGAUGGGCAAAGAAAAUGACAGGAAGGUGAAGUGAUGGAGAAAAUACAGCUGAACAAGAUCUCUCCGGGAUUCACUUUUGUCUCACCCGGAGACCUUGCUGCAAAGAGGGGGAGAGAAAACAACACGGUGGAGGGAGGACAGCAAACAGCAGAAGUUGUUGUGGGUUUAAAAUGGAACUGAUGAGGGGGAGAAAUGAAGUGAUGAUCGUACAGGACACAGAAAUUUGACCUGGCUCACCUGGAGACCUCGCCCCUACAAACAUGUGACAAAGAGGGGAAAGAGGAGAGAAGUGCACAGAUGUUUUUAUUUGUUCUGGAAUGAUCGAUAUUCUGUUCAGUGCAGGUAAAAACUGAAAUGUUGGGAAAAGAGCUGGAAAAAAAGAUAAAAUUAGCAAACACAACAAAUGGACCAUAAAUUCUC